rnacentral:ribozyme from 1 species
GCCGCUCGAAACUUUGCAUACCUCUACGUGGUGAGCGGCAGGCAACACAGUGUGUAGAUUCUGUGGCUAAGAAUGCAGAG